rnacentral:tRNA from 1 species
AGGAAACUUCCAUAAUUGGUAAUAUGGGUUGAGCUGUAAACUCAAUAGCACUGAGCUUCUAAGAGUUCGAAUCUCUUGUUUCCUA